rnacentral:lncRNA from 1 species
GAGGUGGACGAGGAGGACGAGGAUUUGUGCUCGUAUUUGACAACGGUGAUACCUUAUCACAUGGACAGUGGCCCACCUGAUAAUCAAGCUUUACAAGUCCUCAUUAAGAUAUUAAAGGCUAUUAUUGAGGAUAGUCCAACAGUGCCCACAUUAUUAACGGACUACAUAUUGAAAGUUCUGUGCCCCACCUAGUGAUCCAUAUCCUCCAACGUGACAUCUCUGUGCUACGUAUAAAGAAGAAAAGAUUUAUUAAGAUGCAAAUUGCUCCUCUCUUCUUGCCAUUGUGCUUUCAGCCAUUGUUGCGCUGUGUGUUUGAAAUUUAGGACAGUAUAUAAUAUAGAGUAACAGGUACAGCUACGAAUAUAGCACUACAAUAAAUCUUAUAGAAAUGAGCUCUCAUUGAGAUUUCUCUGUACUUAUAAUUCGACACGAGAAGGCAAAAAUCAAUGUAAUGCCAUCUGUAAGGUGAUUUGACUCGUAUUUGCACUACGAGAACUCGUUGGGCAUUUUGCGGUGAAACUUAAAAAAUUGUUGUACAAGAAAUUAAAUAACUAUAAAAAUGGAUAAAAAAU